rnacentral:rRNA from 1 species
CCGCCAGAGGACCCAAACUCUAAUGUUUCUUAUUGUAACUUCUGAGUAAAACAAACAAAUAAAUCAAAACUUUCAACAACGGAUCUCUUGGUUCUGGCAUCGAUGAAGAACGCAGCAAAAUGCGAUAAGUAAUGUGAAUUGCAGAAUUCAGUGAAUCAUCGAAUCUUUGAACGCACAUUGCGCCCGCUGGUAUUCCGGCGGGCAUGCCUGUUCGAGCGUCAUUUCAACCCUCAAGCCCCCGGGUUUGGUGUUGGGGAUCGGCUCUGCCUUCUGGCGGCGCCGCCCCCGAAAUACAUUGGCGGUCUCGCUGCAGCCUCCAUUGCGUAGUAGCUAACACCUCGCAACUGGAACGCGGCGCGGCCAUGCCGUAAAACCCCAACUUCUGAAUGUUGACCUCGGAUCAGGUAGGAAUACCCGCUGAACUUAAGCAUAUCAAUAA